rnacentral:rRNA from 1 species
GCAGCUUGCUGCUUCGCUGACGAGUGGCGGACGGGUGAGUAAUGUCUGGGAAACUGCCUGAUGGAGGGGGAUAACUACUGGAAACGGUAGCUAAUACCGCAUAAUGUCGCAAGACCAAAGAGGGGGACCUUCGGGCCUCUUGCCAUCGGAUGUGCCCAGAUGGGAUUAGCUAGUAGGUGGGGUAACGGCUCACCUAGGCGACGAUCCCUAGCUGGUCUGAGAGGAUGACCAGCCACACUGGAACUGAGACACGGUCCAGACUCCUACGGGAGGCAGCAGUGGGGAAUAUUGCACAAUGGGCGCAAGCCUGAUGCAGCCAUGCCGCGUGUAUGAAGAAGGCCUUCGGGUUGUAAAGUACUUUCAGCGGGGAGGAAGGCGGUGAGGUUAAUAACCUCAUCGAUUGACGUUACCCGCAGAAGAAGCACCGGCUAACUCCGUGCCAGCAGCCGCGGUAAUACGGAGGGUGCAAGCGUUAAUCGGAAUUACUGGGCGUAAAGCGCACGCAGGCGGUCUGUCAAGUCGGAUGUGAAAUCCCCGGGCUCAACCUGGGAACUGCAUUCGAAACUGGCAGGCUAGAGUCUUGUAGAGGGGGGUAGAAUUCCAGGUGUAGCGGUGAAAUGCGUAGAGAUCUGGAGGAAUA